UACGGAGGGUGCAAGCGUUAUCCGGAUUCACUGGGCUUAAAGGGUGCGUAGGUGGGCUGGUAAGUCAGUGGUGAAAUCUCCGGGCUUAACUCGGAAACUGCCGUUGAUACUAUCUGUCUUGAAUAUCGUGGAGGUUAGCGGAAUAUGUCAUGUAGCGGUGAAAUGCUUAGAUAUGACAUAGAACACCCAUUGCGAAGGCAGCUAACUACACGAUCAUUGACACUGAGGCACGAAAGCGUGGGGAGCAAACAGG
rnacentral:rRNA from 1 species